AUUGAACGCUGGCGGCAUGCCUUACACAUGCAAGUCGAACGGCAGCAUGAUCUAGCUUGCUAGAUUGAUGGCGAGUGGCGAACGGGUGAGUAAUACAUCGGAACGUGCCCUGUAGGGGGGGAUAACUAGUCGAAAGAUUAGCUAAUACCGCAUACGACCUGAGGGUGAAAGUGGGGGACCGCAAGGCCUCAUGCUAUAGGAGCGGCCGAUGUCUGAUUAGCUAGUUGGUGAGGUAAAGGCUCACCAAGGCGACGAUCAGUAGCUGGUCUGAGAGGACGAUCACCCACCCUGGGACUGGGACACGGCCCAGACUCCUACGGGAGGCAGCAGUGGGGAAUUUUGGACAUUGGGCGAAAGCCUGCUCCAGCAAUGCCGCGUGUGUGAAGAAGGCCUUCGGGUUGUAAAGCACUUUUGUCCGGAAAGAAAUGGCUCUGGUUAAUACCUGGGGUCGAUGACGGUACCGGAAGAAUAAGGACCGGCUAACUACGUG
rnacentral:rRNA from 1 species